AACGCGAAGAACCUUACCUACCCUUGACAUCCUGCGAAUCUAGCUGAGAGGCUGGAGUGCCGAAAGGAACGCAGAGACAGGUGCUGCAUGGCUGUCGUCAGCUCGUGUCGUGAGAUGUUGGGUUAAGUCCCGCAACGAGCGCAACCCUUAUCGUUAGUUGCCAUCAGGUCAAGCUGGGCACUCUAGCGAAACCGCCCCGGAUAACGGGGAGGAAGGUGGGGAUGACGUCAAGUCCUCAUGGCCCUUACGGGCUGGGCUACACACGUGCUACAAUGGCGGUGACAAUGGGAUGCGAAGACGCAAGUCCUGGCAAAUCUCAAAAAGCCGUCUCAGUUCGGAUUGGGCUCUGCAACUCGAGCCCAUGAAGUUGGAAUCGCUAGUAAUCGUGGAUCAGCACGCCACGGUGAAUACGUUCCCGGGCCUUGUACACACCGACGCGUA
rnacentral:rRNA from 1 species